CCCAGACUCCUACGGGAGGCAGCAGUGGGGGAUAUUGCACAAUGGGGGGAACCCUGAUGCAGCGACGCCGCGUGGGUGAAGGAGCGUUUCGGCGCGUAAAGCCCUAUCGGCAGGGAAGAAGGAGGACGGUACCUGACUAAGAAGCCCCGGCUAACUACGUGCCAGCAGCCGCGGUAAUACGUAGGGGGCAAGCGUUAUCCGGAUUUACUGGGUGUAAAGGGGGCGCAGACGGCAGCGCAAGCCAGGAGUGAAAGCCCGGGGCCCAACCCCGGGACUGCUCUUGGAACUGCGCGGCUGGAGUGCAGGAGGGGCAGGCGGAAUUCCUGGUGUAGCGGUGAAAUGCGUAGAUAUCAGGAGGAACACCGGUGGCGAAGGCGGCCUGCUGGACUGCAACUGACGUUGAGGCCCAAAAGCGUGGGGAGCAAACAGGAUUAGAUACCCGAGUAUU
rnacentral:rRNA from 1 species